rnacentral:rRNA from 2 species
CUGUCGUCAGCUCGUGUUGUGAAAUGUUGGGUUAAGUCCCGCAACGAGCGCAACCCUUAUCCUUUGUUGCCAGCGGUUCGGCCGGGAACUCAAAGGAGACUGCCAGUGAUAAACUGGAGGAAGGUGGGGAUGACGUCAAGUCAUCAUGGCCCUUACGACCAGGGCUACACACGUGCUACAAUGGCAUAUACAAAGAGAAGCGACCUCGCGAGAGCAAGCGGACCUCAUAAAGUAUGUCGUAGUCCGGAUUGGAGUCUGCAACUCGACUCCAUGAAGUCGGAAUCGCUAGUAAUCGUAGAUCAGAAUGCUACGGUGAAUACGUUCCCGGGCCUUGUACACACCGCCCGUCACACCAUGGGAGUGGGUUGCAAAAGAAGUAGGUAGCUUAACCUUCGGGAGGGCGCUUACCACUUUGUGAUUCAUGACUGGGGUGAAGUCGUAACAAGGUAACCGUAGGGGAACCUGCGGUUGGAUCACCUCCUUACCUUAAAGAA